GAUGAACGCUAGCGGCAGGCUUAAUACAUGCAAGUCGUGGGGCAGCAGGCUUGUAGCAAUACAGAUGCUGGAGACCGGCAAACGGGUGCGGAACACGUACACAACCUUCCUUUAAGUGGGGAAUAGCCCAGAGAAAUUUGGAUUAAUACUCCGUAACAUUAUGAUGUGGAACCACAUUAUAAUUAUAGCUACGGCGCUUAAUGCUGGGUGUGCGGGUGAUUAGGUAGUUGGCGGGGUAACGGCCCACCAAGCCUGCGAUCAGUAACUGGUGUGAGAGCACGACCAGUCACACGGGCACUGAGACACGGGCCCGACUCCUACGGGAGGCAGCAGUAAGGAAUAUUGGGAAAUGGAGGAAACUCUGACCCAGCCAUGCCGCGUUGAGGAUGAAGGUCCUCUGGAUUGUAAACUUCUUUUAUAUGGGACGAAAAAGGGUCUUUCUAGGUCAACUGACGGUACCAUAUGAAUAAGCACCGGCUAACUCCGUGCCAGCAGCAGCCGCGGUAA
rnacentral:rRNA from 1 species